rnacentral:lncRNA from 1 species
GUGUGAAAGCCGAAACAAGCACAAAGUCGAACAGCAUCGAGGACCAAAAGAUAAAAAAAGUUGUGCCAAAAACGGCCAGGGUUUUCUGUUAGUUACCAGAACAUCCUUAUCAUUUAGAAUAAUUUAUACUUUUGCAAACAGUAAAUUUAUAAAAUUAAUAAACAAAAGCUGUACAUGAUAGAACUGAAAUAUUAACUAAUUACAGGAAACAACUGAAAUACAUUACAUAACCAGACAUUUGCAACACAAUAUGUAGAC